UUCCUUGAGAUGAGCUGAAGGGAAGGGAAAGGUGGGGUGUGUUUGUGUAAACAAAGGCUGUGUGGUUGUUCACUUGCCAUGGGUAGAAAUCCCAGCUGUGCCAGCAAGUGCAGGAUGUGGGACCACCCAGCCCUAGCACUGCCCUCACUGUGGCUGAGCUGCCUUUAAUCCUUUGCCAUACAGCUGUAAAAUGAUUAGUCCCUUGUUUAUUUAUGCACAGGCAUGAAACUAGUUUCAGGUGGGUUCUGGAUAGGAUCUGAAGGGCAGCACUUGUUAAAGUAAUGGGAAAGGGCUGUGGGAGAUCAAUCCAAGUACAGCAGAGGCCUCUCUGAUGGAAGAUUUGAAAACCUUUCCUUGGCUUUUCACAGUCAUUUCAGCUGCUGCUUGAGCAGGGGUGACUUGACUGAAUUGUUGUUGCUUGGAGCUGUCAAAGUGUGUCUGGUCAUGCCUGAACUUACAGCUUCACAGAUUCCUGCCAGGAGGGAUUCCAGUUCUGAGACAUUGAGCUCCUGAGGGCUGACCUUGGAGCACUCCUCAGUAUGCAGAGAAUAAAACUCCUUUACUGGCUACUGAGCAGUACAAUUAAUACAGAGUGAAGUUUGUGUCCUUUGAAAUCCUUUACAUCCUGACUUGACAGUCAAGUUCUGGAAUAACUACUAAAAGUAGGAUUCUACCAACAUGGGUGUUUCUUGUGCUUGAAGAGACUUUCUCCCAUGAUCCAUUAGAUGAAAGUGCACUGUGCACCUUGGGGUUCCCUCUCUUUCACUGCCUGAAGCUGCUCAACACUGCUGCCUCUCUGGGGUCUAACCCCAAAUUCCUGCUGUUGCUUGUAAAGCCCAACUGAGCUGGUUUUGGCUGGGGAAGUUGAGUUUUUGCAGACAGCUAGUGUGGGGCUGUUUUGGAUUUGUGCUGCAGAUUGUGUCAAUAACACUGGGAUAUUUUCCUAAUUGCUGAGCAGUGCUUGCGCAGAGUCAAUGCCUUUUCUGCUCCUCACCCACCAGUGAGGAGACUGGAGGGGAACAAGGAGUUGGGAGGUGACACAGCCAGGACAGCUGACCCCAGCUGGCCACAGAGGUAUCCCAGAUGAUGUGGCCUCAUGCUUGGCAUCUAAAGCUGGGAGCAGAAGAAGGAAACAGGAGGUGUUUGGAGUGAUGAUGACUUCCCGAGUUACUGUUGUGUGAGAUGGGCCCUGCCCUCCUGGAGAUGGCUGAACACCUGCCUGCCCGUGGGAAGCAUUCAAAUAUUCAGCUGAUGUUAACAUACUGAAAAAUUACUGUCUAUAUAUGAUAGGAUAAUGCAAGACAAAGCAGGAUCUCCUCGGGUAUCUCUGCCAAAGCUCCCCCUCACAUCCUCAGAGAACUGGUGAAGCCACCCACACAUCGCUGCUCUGGACAGCACGGGCCAGCAGCUCCUGCACUGGAUUUACAGUGCAACAGAUGGCUUGUGAGUUUGGCUCCAGCCCUCAGCAUUGUCUUUUUAAUCACCCCUGCUGUCUUCUGAACACUAACCAGGAUGAUUCCAAGCUCUUUCUGACAGACAAGCAGCUAUUUUAUAGGCUGUUGCACUUGUACGCGCACACACACUGGAAAUGCUUUGCACUAAGAGCAACACCUCAUUUUACAAUCAACCUUGGGUUCCAGAAUUAACUGAAUAUCCCCCACAUUUUCCACUUUCCUGUGACUCUCUUCUCCUUCUCCAUAUCCAGCCCUACAAAUCUUGAGAUGACAGUGCUAGUAACUUCUCUCCACUGUGAAAACUGGUGAAAAGAUAAGAAACAGAACAGAGAAUAAAUGGUCAUUUAUUAACACUCAUAGAUUCUUCUUCUUACAGUGACUAAGAGAGCAUGAGCCGAGGCUUUUUGAGAAAUAUCUCAUAAAUAUCUCAUAAAAUUAAGUAUAUCAUCAAGACCUCCUUUGUCUGCAUGAUCAUUUACUCUUUAUAACAACAGAUUUAGAAGUUAUAACACCUCUCUAUCCCAGCCAUGUUGAUGUAAAUCUGUAUUUUAUUCCUCCACAAUAUGUUUGCUUGCAAACCCUUUCUAGGGUAGAGAUGCUCCAAGGUGGAAACCAUUAAUUAGAUUUUAAGGAAGGGAGCUUGAAAUCAAUCCUGUACUGUGAGAAGAGAGCUGAGUUGCUGGCUUUGCCUUGAGGAAAGACCUGACAGUAUCAGCCUUUUCCAAGAUAAAAUGCAAAGUUCAUGUGUAUCACAUAUGUGUCAAGCCACUGUAAGUUUUGCAUUACUAUCAGCCAAAUAAAAAGACAUAUUUCUGAUGACUGCAAAUGACACCUUUGAUUAGUGCAGCCAGUGGUGUAACUCAGUGUGAAACAAUGAACUCCACCACUUUGUACUUGCUACUUCCCAGUGACUCCAAAGUCUGUUUGAAGUAACGUCUAUUUGAAGUAAGGAAUAAAAAAUGGAAAGAUGAUGCUGGUCUAGAGCAGCAACACUGUCUUCAUACCUAACCUGAAACGUGUUGGCAGAGCAGCAGUUCCAAGGAGCACUAACAUUUCCUCUCUUGAGAACAGAAUGCUUGGAUGAAGCCUCAGUCAAGAGACUCAAAGCUGAAAUUACUGCAUUAUCUUGUCCACAUGAAUGAAAAUUUAGCCAAGCUUGUACACAAGCCAGCCAGUGGCAGAAAGCCCAGCAGGUGUUUAUUCCCCAUCCUCCACUGCUACUAUCCCCACAACAUGGAGAGCUUUCACAAUAUUUUGCUUUCUCUCUAUUCUCCACCCACUGUUGUAUUUAAAUGAUAAUUCCUUGCUAUUUAACCUCUUUAGGAUACUGAGCUCCAAGCUAGGACUCGAGACCUGCACACUGUUAGUGUGCUGAAGACCAAGAAACCAAGCCCUGGUACUGAAGAGAGUUGCUGUUCUCUUUACAUCCUCACUGCUUUAAGGGCAAAUAUUGAAAGGACAGCUGUCGUGUAGCUGUCAACAUGAUGAAGAGGAUGUGUCAGGGGAUACAGGACUAUAUUCUAGUUCUACUAACCUCUUCUUACAGCAAUUAUUUCAGCAUUAUUAAAGACAUUUGGUGCAGUAGCACCCAGUUUCUUGUGCACAAGAAAUCAUGUUUAUCUCCUGGAAGAAUAGAAUACAGCCUUCCCUAACAGCAGUUGGACCACCCCCAGCUUGAACCUAUCAUACCACGCAGGCUUUAGGUGUCUCAAGGGAACUGAAGCACCAAAGGUUUUGGACAGAGCAUCUACCACAGCAGCCUUAGAACAGCAUGAUAUGCUUUGUAUUUCUAGUGCAUUUUUAUGUUUCAAGUAACCCUAAGACACCUCCUGAAAUGUUACUGAUGUGUUUAUAUCAUAAGUGACAAGAAUGGUAAACCAAAAAUUCAGGCUAAGUGCUGCUUCUGAUUUUGAGCAUGAUGAACAGACCAAAACUAAUUAACAGGCAACCUGUAGCAGCCAGCCGGUAACUGCAAAGUCAAGGCACGGCAUCCUGUCUCCCUUAAAGGAAGGAAGCAAAUUUGGGAUGUCCUUAGAUGACUUAUAUUCUCCUUGCUCCACCAGAACCAGCUACGUGUCAUGUGAUUUUACCUCCCUUUCUUUACUUCUGAUAUCCCAAACUCAAAUCAGACAAACUUACCUCAAGUGACCCCGUGUGCUGGAAGCUGUUAUUUCACAAGAGCUAUUACUAAUCGGCUGAUGCGAUCCAGAAGAAUGCCUUCUGGUGUUCUGCUUUCUGGUAUUAAUCUGUGUCAACAUCAAGACAUUCAAGCCAAGCAAUUUAGGACUGAAAUUCAAAAUCAGGCAGUGGAGGAUAACCUCCUUGAUUAAACUAAAGUCUGGAAACAAAAGUCAUAAAUAUAUUACAACAUGGAACUGCAUGACCUACUUCUCCCUUCCUCAGUAAUAACAACUUCAGAGAUUUUACUAGUUAAAAAAUAAAUCCAAUUCAUUUCUCGUAGCCUAAAGUUAAGUAUUUUAACAUUGCAGCAAAAACCUUUUAAGUUGGGCAUUCACUUUCUCUGAGGGAAUGCAAAUCUGGAGGCUUUUUUUUCAAUUAGAAGAAGGAAAGCGACCUUUAAUUUCAGCAUUUCAAAUUAUUGCCAUUUAAUUAAUCAAAUUUACAUAAGUUAGCAGUGUAGCAUAGCUUUGAAAUUGUACUCAGGCACCAAAGUGAAGUUUGACUAUUCUGCCUCUCUGUCUCCUUUUUAAACAUCUAUAUCUAAUGUGUUUAUAUGUGACAUUUUCAAGCUCCAAAAGGUUAAAAAACUGCAGGAAAUGGAGCUUCAGAAAAUUAAACUAAAAAUUAUUAUGUUAAUAAAAGCUAGAACUAACCCAAAUAUUUUUAAUUUUCCUGGGACAAAGAUUGCUGCUCCCUUCCAUGCACCAAUAGAAAUCCUUUCUGGCUCUGUACCAUUGCACAAGAACUUGAGGGGAGCACUGGCUUUACCCAUGGCAGCUUAGCAGGUGACCAAUAAGCCAGGGCUUCUCUCCUUCCAUGCAGAUAUCUUUCUACACCAGCAAGUUCCUUGAUAGAGACAGUGGAGGCAACUAAUAAAGUCUUUUAUUCCAGUAUAAAGUAUAAUGAGCUGUCUCACCCAUUUAACAUUCAGUCCCUAGAUAAAUCUUCAAACCCACUGGCAUUUUGGAUGUCAGCAAGUCCAUGUGGAGCAGUGAAAAAUAGAUUAUUAUCAAGAAAGUACCAGAGGAAGAGUGAAUAAAGCAGCCAAACCAGAUAGAUAAUUUUAUUACCUGAAAAUCUGAAUUGAUUAUAAUAUUCAAUUGCUUUGUUGCAACUGUUUAAGUUCCAUAACAAAAACUUAUAUAAAUUGCAAGUAUCGAAUGAAGAUAUGAAAUGUCGUUUGAGUCUGCAACACAGAUUCAAAUAUUAGAAAAGCAUUUGCAGACUGUUUGUAUGUGUGCAUGUUUCAUCAGGCUCUUCCAUAUUUUCCACACUAAUGUUACCCUAAGAACUGCUCUCAACAUUACUAUAGGCAGUUUAAAAUCAAGAAAACAUAGUAAUGAUGUGAGGUUACUUUAAAAAAAAUGUUCAAAGUGACUUUCCUUACUCUGGAGUAGAAGCAAG